GCGAAAGUGGCGGAAUUGGUAGACGCGCGGGAUUUAGGAUCCCGUGGCUAAAAGCCGUGGGGGUUCGAGUCCCCCCUUUCGCA
rnacentral:tRNA from 1 species